UUUCAGAUGGUAUAAUAGUCAUGUGGAAUAGAGAGGUGCAUAAGAUGGUGGCUUUUCGGAUUGAAGGAGGUGGUGCUUAUGUAUGUAAGCAAACUAAUCUGGAGAAAGGGAAUGCCUGAUGUCAGUCGCAGAAGCGCUAACAGUAGCUCUUGGCUUUGGUAUGUUUGUUGUAUCAUUAGUCAAGUUAGU
rnacentral:sRNA from 1 species